GAUUUUGUCAUUUGGGUCGAGUCUCUUAGGAGAUUCCUCACUUGGCGAUAUACCACUGUGCACUAAAUGUAUUUUGGGUCUUGGCUAACCUAUUCGUAGUCAAGCCGAGGCCCAGCAUUAUGAACCAAUGAAUUUUUUGUCUAAAAUAUCUAUAAAAUAGAAACAACUUUUGACAACGGAUCUCUUGGCUCU
rnacentral:misc_RNA from 1 species